GCGGAGUCCCUGCUGCCCAGGGCAGGGCAUCAACGGGCAGUCAGGCCCUCUGCCCUGCUCUCCAGCCCUCUGCGAGGCGGGUACUUCUUAUCUCCUCUCCACACAGCAAGGCUCAGGGGCCGAGGUCCUGGGCCUGGGGGAUUUGGAGGCAGCCAGUGAAUCUGCACGUGUCUCCUCUGGACACUUCCAGCAAGGCCUGUGGCUUCGCGGGAGGGCAUACCGCUCUGAGACGUGAUACUACUCUGACCCCUGCAAGCCAGCAGAGGGGGCAGAUGCAGUUCAGCCUGGAUGCGCAUCCCGAGGUCAGUAGGCCGUGGUUUACACAAACAACCAGACUCCAAGCUGUCCUCCAGCCAUGAUGUAGAGUCACUGACACAGAAGGACAUUUGAGAAUUCACAAAUACGGAGCACUGUCUUACUUUCAUAGAGUAACCCGGAUUCUUACCAUUUUUUUUUUUUUGGUAAAAGUAUGUACACAUAAAUAUAUAAUUGUCUAGAAGAACAUUUUUACGUUGGUGGUGACUGAGAAGGUGUUUUUGUGACUUUCUAUUACUUCUCAGUGAGGUAUGAUAUCUUUACAAGGAGCAUGUAUUCCC
rnacentral:lncRNA from 1 species